UCAUCCUAUAUAUAUUACCACGCCGGAGGAGAAACAGUAGGAAACCGGGAGGAGGGAAUAGAAUCUGGAUCGCGGUGUUACCACGCCGCGUAGAGAUCAAGGAAGAAGGAGGAGAGCGUGGUUGGGGGGAGGAGGAGAGAACCGGUAGGCUCAAGGUUCUUGAGCGGUCGGGAACACGAAGCUGUUCUGCAUGGUAGCGAAACCAAGGGUGCCGGUACCGGUUCCAGAGCACUCCAAGCGCACUGGAAACUCUGAAACCGGUACCGGUACCACCGGUACCGUACAACCCAUAGUCAUAGAGUCUAGCUAUAAACGGAAGCGUUCGGGUUCGCCGCUUGCUAAACGGUCUAAAAAACCUAGGUAGAAAACUUCAACUUUGGGACGGUAGAGGAAGAAGUCUAGUUUCUACGCGCACAACAAAAGCAACCAAGCUGGAGCAAAAAACAACUAUCAAACUAUGGUACGUCGUGAACAAAAAGUCUAGAUACGUUCAAAAGUAACCAAAACUAGAAGGACUAAGACGAGGGGAUUAAACUAUCUAGAUCAAGCUAGACAAAGGAGAACACCGUGCGCGCUCUCGAAUGGGAUCACCGAGCGGAGGGACAGAGAUAAGCCUGUCCAGCACCCAAGCUAAGGGGGCUCUCGGACUAAGGAGGAAAAAGACCGUUAAAUAGGUUGCGGUGACUGUCUUACCGGGGUCGUCAGUCGGUCACCGAUACUCGCCGCGAAGAGUAAAAAAAAACCUGAAAGUGUAGUUACCACCCGAAUUAUCGUCUCUAAACGUAGAGCAACAUACCAAAUACCGGGUUAUUGCCGGGUGAGUGAUAUGAUAAAUAUACGCGGCCAGAGGGGACUAGAUUUGGGAUUGUAAAGAAGGAGUCCGCCGCCGCCUCCGCCUCCGCUCGCUGCUGCGCACGGUACCGCGAGACGGCACACCCAAGAGCCGAGCGACCUCAGCGCCGCUCCUCAGAAGAGUGGCCGAGGGUACGACGGUUCCCGCCGCGACUGUAGGGGUAGCGGCCGGAGGCGCGAGUGGACGGGUUGUGGAGACCAGAGGACGCAGGGUUCCCGCAGCCGGUGAUGAGAGUCCUUUCCAAGAGGGUGUGGUUCGGCCGUGGGUGUGACCAGUACCACCACCACGUACUUCUGGGUCUAGAGCGCGCACAGAUACGCCUCUCGGACAGAUUCCGACGGUCCCUGGUUUAGGAACAGGACGUGUUCCACGUGGAACGGGGUGGACGUAGGCUUCAAUUGGGACUCAGGUGGCUACAGUUAGGACUACGACUGAGAUUCGAACUGAACGGCUUUCUCACGGGGCCCCUGGGUGUGCAACAAAGGAAACAGCACCUACCCGAAAGACCUGAAUGACUUCGACUCUAACUCUACGACAAACUGUUAUUUUACUCCUGACACCACUCCCUGCCGUUCCUAGGUACACAGCGCCGUUAGCUCGUCUACCCGUCCUUAAACCUGAGACGAAACGUUCCCCAUUUCACCUUGGUUGUCUAUACGAAACUCUUUGACCUACGCUCCCGAUAAAGGGUCUCAGACGAGGACCUCCUAGAGGUGUUCCGGUCAUUUGUUCACUUAAAACAGCUUCGGCGGAACUCGCUCCGACCCUCUUCCUACAAGGUGUUCUUUCAAUAGACCCGUUUCUCCUCGGAUGACUGUGACCACGGCAUACGGUCGUCCAUGAUGAAAAUAACAGACAGGCGGAUAUCAGACGACUACACGCUACACGGAGAAGCAGGCCAGCUGAUACGGAACUAACACCAACCUCGGGUCACCUACCGAUCGCUACUUUACUCCCCUUUUAAGGACCUCAGUAUGUUAAUGAAGUUCUUACCACCGUUUUUCCACCUACGACCACUACGACCGUUCUUCUAAACUCCGAGAAGAAGGAGACCAAGAACCACAUCAAGUUAACUCUACGAGGUUGAGAACGGGUGACAAUGACACACAGCACAAAACAUUCGAACUAACCGAUACAGUAAACGAUAGAAGCGAUGUCGUGUAAAGAGGAAAUAAGGUACACAUCGUAGAUGACUCAAUAUAGCCUAAUACUCGUCUCACUUUGAAAACCAUAAAAAACAGAUACCUUGUCACAAUCUGUAAAUCGACACA
rnacentral:rRNA from 1 species